rnacentral:rRNA from 1 species
CCCUUAGAUGUUCUGGGCCGCACGCGCGCUACACUGACGGAGCCAACGAGUAUUUUCCUUGUCCGGAAGGACUGGGUAAUCUUGUGAAACUUUGUCGUGCUGGGGAUAGAGCAUUGUAAUUAUUGCUCUUCAACGAGGAAUUCCUAGUAAGCGUGAGUCAUCAGCUCGCGUUGAUUACGUCCCUGCCCUUUGUACACACCGCCCGUCGCUACUACCGAUUGAAUGGCUUAGUGAGCCUUUGGGAGUGGCAGCCAACACCGGCAACGGUAGCUGGCCGCCGAAAACUUAUGCAAACUUGGUCAUUUAGAGGAAGUAAAAGUCGUAACA